rnacentral:lncRNA from 1 species
UACAGACAAUAAACUACUUCGACCGUCGGUAUUUCAAAGUUACUAACCAUCAACUGACUCUCGACGUACAGUCGGCCGACUUAUUCAAAAAUAUCAUAACCGUCACGGACGGUUACUCCACUGAUAUCAUCGCGUAAUCUAUGAGGAUUAAUAACCCACUAUGAGAUUACCGUCCUAUGAUUCUAUGCUGCUAAAUGUGGGAUCAUAUCCGACAGUUUUGACAAUCUACUCUAUAAAAAGGGGAUAAGGCAAUAAGUUUCGAUAAGCCAUUUUUCAUGCUG